AGAUAAGUUAAUGUUAAAUAAGAAUAUUGGGACGGUCUCGAAAACCGUUGCGGGGGUAACUCCGCCGAGGGUUCGAAUCCCUCUCUCUCCGCCA
rnacentral:tRNA from 1 species